rnacentral:pre_miRNA from 1 species
AAUAAGAUCAUUUUUAGUUUUUUAUAUAAUAUUUUGACUCUUUGUCUUAUUUAAAUUUUUUUUGUGAUUAAUAUUUUUAUUCUUACUAGAUAAAACAUAAAUAGUACUUUAUCCAUGACUAAUUUUUUUUAAAGUUUUUUAUAAAUUUUUCAAAUAAGACGAAUGGUCAAACGUUGGACACAGAAAAACGAAAAAUGAAGUUAUU